UGUUCCUGUCCUCUAUAAUCUAAGAUUAUUUAAUGGACAGUUUUUUUACGUUGGCAAAUUAAGAAGCUGUGUUCAUUCUAUCGUCAUAGUUCAGUCCGUUCAUCUCAAAUGACACCAUUUGAAUAGCUGUUGAACAUUCUGCACACAGCUUUCCUGAAGUGGAAUUGACCAAAGUUGUUUUUCAGAUAAUCUGGAGAUAUCUCAUUGUGAAGACUAUUGUUGGUGCCUGAAAGUAGCUUUGCGAAGUGACCAUUCUAUUGCCCACCCUAAUCAGAUACUACUAAACCUUAUCGACAAACUGAAUUAUAUGGGUGCAUUUUCUAUUAAUUUCUCCUCCAUCAUCCCACCUAUUCCCAAAGUUGCUGACGUUUGUUGGGGUAUGGUUUAGUUAGUGCUGGAAAGUCUGGAUGCAUAAGAAAGUUCUGAAGGGCAAAGGAGUGGAGGUCAGAGGGGUCUUGGUGUUCUAGUACAUGAAUCCACAAAAAGUUAGUAGGCAUGUCCAACAAGUAGUUAAGAAGGAAAAUGGUAUAUUGGCAUUCAUUGUAAAGGAUUUGGAUUUUUAAGAAUAGGGAGAUUUUGUUAUAGUUGUACAGGCCACACCCAGAAUACUGUGCACAGUUUUGGUCCCUUCAUCUAAUAAAAUGAUGUAGUAGCAUUGGAAGGGGUCCAAAAGUGGUUCCCUAGGCUAAUUCCUUGGGUUGUCCUAUCAAGAAAGGCUAAACAGUUUGGGUUUCUAUUUCUUGGAGUUUAGAAGAAUAAUGUACAAGAUGAUAAAAGGCAUAGAUCGAGUGGACAGUCAGAGACUUUAUCCCCAGGGUGACAACAGCUAACACGAGGGGGCAUAAUUUUAAGGUGAUUGGAGGAAGAUACAGGAAGGAUGUCAGGAGCAAGUGUUUUUUUUAAAACAGAGUGGUGGGUGUGUGGAAUGCACUGCCAGCAGAGGUUGUGGGGGCAGAUACAUUAGGGACAUUUAAGAGACUCUUAGA